rnacentral:rRNA from 1 species
UCAAAAACAUAGCCCUAAGAAUUUAUUUAGGGUGAAGCCUGCCCAAUGAGUUUUAAAUGGCCGCGGUACUUUGACCGUGCUAAGGUAGCAUAAUCAAUUGACUUUUGAAUGAAGUCUGGAAUGAARGGAAWAACGGGGCUUWGCUGUCUCUAUUUUUYUAUUUUAAAGUUACUAAUUAGGUGAAAAGGCCUAAAUAAGAUAAUAGACGAGAAGACCCUUAGAGCUUUNUAUAURUUUUCGUUGGGGCGACGAAGGGUUAAAANURAACACCCNURUUAWYAUAMAAAGGGUUMNACCAUAWGMAGAUAAGCUACCURAGGGAUAACAGCAUAAUCUUUWUUAGGUUUGUGACCUCGAUGUUGGACUAGGGAACUUYUAGGUUAGCCGCUUAGAGGAAUAAUUCUGUUCGAAUAUUGCCCCCUACGUGAUCUGAGUUCAGACCGGA